CGGCCUGGCGGCGAGUGGCGAACGGGUGAGUAAUACAUCGGAACGUGCCCUGUCGUGGGGGAUAACUAGUCGAAAGAUUAGCUAAUACCGCAUACGACCUGAGGGUGAAAGCGGGGGACCGCAAGGCCUCGCGCGAUAGGAGCGGCCGAUGUCUGAUUAGCUAGUUGGUGGGGUAAAGGCCCACCAAGGCGACGAUCAGUAGCUGGUCUGAGAGGACGAUCAGCCACACUGGGACUGAGACACGGCCCAGACUCCUACGGGAGGCAGCAGUGGGGAAUUUUGGACAAUGGGGGCAACCCUGAUCCAGCAAUGCCGCGUGUGUGAAGAAGGCCUUCGGGUUGUAAAGCACUUUUGUCCGGAAAGAAAUGGCCUGGGCUAAUACCCCGGGUCGAUGACGGUACCGGAAGAAUAAGCACCGGCUAACUACGUGCCAGCAGCCGCGGUAAUACGUAGGGUGCGAGCGUUAAUCGGAAUUACUGGGCGUAAAGCGUGCGCAGGCGGUUUGAUAAGACAGGCGUGAAAUCCCCGAGCUCAACUUGGGAAUGGCGCUUGUGACUGUCAGGCUAGAGUAUGUCAGAGGGGGGUAGAAUUCCACGUGUAGCAGUGAAAUGCGUAGAGAUGUGGAGGAAUACCGAUGGCGAAGGCAG
rnacentral:rRNA from 1 species